GAGUAUCACGCUGUAGAAGAGAUUAGAGAAGUGUAUUCUCAUUAAGUUCUUGGAUAUGUGUUACAAAUGAGGCUUUCAUCACACCUUUUAUAUACAUGACCACCUGCUCAAGAGUCGGUGGAGAGAAAACUGAUCUAACGACUGAGAUCUAUUCCUUACUCUCUAUUAUACUUUCCUAAUGCUUAUCUAUUCCUUACUC
rnacentral:lncRNA from 1 species